UUGAGCCGUGUGCGGGGAAACUCGCAUGCACGGUUCUUAUGGGGCUGAGGGGUGGUAACACCCCUUGGCUACCAGAC
rnacentral:ncRNA from 1 species